rnacentral:rRNA from 1 species
AGUCGCGCGCGUAGCAAUACGAGCGGCGAAAGGGACAGUAAUGUAUCGAUUAUCUGCCUUCAGGAUCGGGAUAGCGGCGGGAAACUGCCGGUAAUACCGGAUAAUGUCUCCGGACCAAAGGGGAAGAUCCGCCUGAAGAUGAGUCGAUAUCCUAUUAGCUUGUUGGUGAGGUAAUGGCUCACCAAGACGAUGAUGGGUAGCGGGUGUGAGAGCACGACCCGCGUCAUUGGGACUGAGACACUGCCCAGACACCUACGGGUGGCUGCAGUCGAGAAUCUUCGGCAAUGGACGCAAGUCUGACCGAGCGACGCCGCGUGUGGGAUGAAGGCCUUCGGGUUGUAAACCACUGUCAGUGGGGAGGAAGGUCCUGUGAAGAGCAGGAUUUGACCUAUCCGCAGAGGAAGUGAGGGCUAAGCUCGUGCCAGCAGCCGCGGUAAGACGAGCCUCACAAACGUUAUUCGGAAUUACUGGGCUUAAAGGGUGCGUAGGCGGCGUAGAAAGUUGGGUGUGAAAUCCCUCAGCUUAACUGAGGAAGGGCGCCCAAAACUACUAUGCUCGAGGGAGAUAGAGGAGUGCGGAACUUAGGGUGGAGCGGUGAAAUGCGUUGAUAUCCUAGGGAACACCGGUGGCGAAAGCGGCACUCUGGAUCUCUUCUGACGCUGAGGCACGAAA